rnacentral:lncRNA from 1 species
GCUUGAGCUAAAUCUUAAAGGACUAAAGUGAAAAUCAGUAAGGGAUGGACAGCCUGGUCAGGGGGACUGACGUGGGCAGAGGAGGGAGCAGGAAGCAGGUGGGCCAUGCUUGGGGCCUGGACCUGAGAAACAGGGUGAGGGGUAGGUAGUGGAGCAGGAAGCAAUCAAUGCCAGUGGCGUGGAGGGGGUGGGGUCGGCUGAUAGCAAGCCUCAAAUACUCUGGGUAAGGUGCUCAGAAUUUAUCCCACAGCAGUGUCAGUGUGUGUGUGUGUGUGUGUGUGUGUGUGUGUGUGUGAAGGUAGCUUUUGAAAUAUUCUCAUGUUAUUAGGGGAAGAGACCAAGGGCAACAAGAUCAGUUACAAGCCACAGCAAUAAUUUGGACAAACUAUAAGCUGACCUGACAUGGGUAAUGGAAAUAAAAAAGGGGAAACAAAUGCAUGAGCUCUUGAGAGUAUUUCCCAUACCUCUCCCCUUCUCUGUUCUUAGGCCAGAGAAAUUUCCCCAGUGAAAGCUUCCCCACCCUUUCCUGGUUCAGGGCCCGGUGCCUGUGUGCUUCCUGUUCCUUCUGCCUCAAGUGCUCUCCCUCCCAACACACCCCUACCCACCUGGAGAAUACCUAUUCAUUCUUUAAAACAUUUCAUAGAGGCAACUCCUCCAAAAUCUUUCCUCGCUGCAGGCGUGAUGGAGUGACUGAUCCCACCUUUGUACGGCCUCUGUACAUCGCACAUGCUUCUGCGGGGACAUCGGUGCCAGUUUGUUUCUGCAUCUGUGUCCUCUAGUAGACAGCGAACUCCUCAGCGGUUGUGACCAGUUUGGUGUUUAUGUUCCUGCGCCUGCGGUAAUGCCUGAUGCGCACUGAGCACGAUGUUGAAUGAACGCGAUGUUGAAUGAAUGGACGGAAGCACGUGGAAGAUUGCCGCUGUCCAAAGAUCCCCGGCUUCGAGACUUCACUGUGAUGCGGUCACUGUUAGGAGGCAGUUUUUCGGACACUUUCAGUAAUAAAUCUUUUUUGAUAUCAUCUAUAGUAGCUCUGCCUCAUAGCAAGUUCCAGGCUAAAGCAGGUAAGGGGACAACAAACUGCCGUGGAGGCAGACAGACCUGGCUUGAGUCCUCGUUUUGUCACUAUGGGUUUACCUCAAUCUCUCGGAGCCUCCAUUUCCUCAUCUGUAAAAUAGGGGAGAACGUAAGGGCAGAGCCUGGUUGCCUGCCAACUAUUUCACUCCUCUUCCUUGCUGACGGCAACGACGACGACAAAUCCUGAUUUUGUUUAGCUCCCGAUAUGCCCAAUCCCAGCAGAUGCGCUGCGACGACCUAAGGUGUCCAUUCCUGCUACCAAUGGUUGGUUGGUAGGGUCCGUAGGAGAGCAAGUGACCUAAUUCUGACUGAUGAGGCCAAACGGGACAUCUGGCAGAAGCUUCCCAGAAAAGAUUUUCCUCUCUGAUAAGUGACACAUGUGAAGAGAAAGCCCAUCUGCCUUUGGCCCUCUUGCUUCCUGAGCCAGAUGCUGUUGUGGAGACAUGAUGUUUGGGGUAAGAGCAGCCAUCUCUUCAAAACAAACGGGACCACCACUGACGCAUUAAUGAUGGCAGAGCUGAAGGACCCGAAGAGUGUAGGUCCUUGGAGCAACACUGAUCUAUUCAAUUCAACGAAACUUGGUCUACCUAUCUCCAGAUUUCUGGUCAACAAUAAAUGUCUUUUAUUGUUUAACCUGUUGUGUAGG